GGGGGGGUACUUUCCCUAUAUAAUGUCCUCUAUUCUCCACGCAGAUAUUUUUCUUGCUCUUCGCUCUAUUUCAUUCCCCUUCUCUCAUCUCUUUCCAUCUCUAUUGAACUUGUGUUACAGAUCAUAAGUUUUUGAAAGACAUGCCAUGUAAUCACGAUCCAGCAUUGAGGAAAAGCCGUUGCUUGUUUUCGCAGGUGUCUUUUCCCUUGUGGCUAGAAGUAAAGGGGUUUUAGUCAGCACCGAGAAUGACCGUGACCGUGGCUGGUAUGCUCGAUUUAUUGCCGCCCCCACUCGUGGGUUAGUGGGUGAUGAAAACAUGCCUUUCCCUGAAAAGUGAAACUUUGCACCAACCGUGGAAGUCUUUGAAGAAAUUCCUAACUUUCGUGAUUCGGGAGAAAAAAUGAUGAUCGCUGCUCCCAUGGAUAAGAGAUCAUGGAAGUUUCUUUCACAAAAAUUUGGAUGGAAAAUGAAAACUCGCGAUCAUAAGUUUUUAGAAGAUACAAUAUGUAAUCACUCCCAGCAUUGCGGAAAUGCCGUUGCUUCGUUUUUCAGUUGAAUGCUGAAAUUUGACAUUGGUGUGUAAUGAACUUAGUUUGUCCUUGCUGAAGCCUAUUGCAUGCAAAGCAUAUUGAUGCAACUUUGAGCAUCUUGAAGACAUGAAGCAUAGCGUCUGACUUCUAUUUUUUCCUUCUGCAAUUGCAAAGAAGGAUUAGAGACUGAUCUCCAGAUACUGAACAGAUGGCAUGACAAAGACAGGUUAUAGAGUUGGAUACCUUGAGUGAAGCAGUGGUACCUAGAACCUAGUGCUAUCCAUGAAUGUCAUUAUCUGCUUAAUAAAGACAAGAGGGACUGUGUAGAAGUAAGAAGAUAAGUUGCAGAUUAACACCAAAUGUUAUCUUGGUAGAAAGUUUAGGACAGCUAUCCUCCUCUUUUUUCAAAAAAGGUACUCGUAUACUAAAUAGUACCACAUUCAAGUUUGACAAGUUAGGAGAGGGGUGUGCCUUAGCUGACCAUUAUCAAGAAAUGAACUUCACGGAAUCAGGCUGUGUCGACUGUAGUGGUUAUGUGGAAUCUGUUUAGCCGAAGAAGAUGUUCUUGUUGAUAUGAUGCAAAUCGAAAUAAUUGUGAACUAUAAGACAGUUCUGUCCCUACCUAUGCUUUGAUUGCUAGACAAAUGGGAGUCUCUCUGAUCUAUUCUUUUAUGUGACCUCUCUCCAGUUAAAUCCUGAAUAGCUGAAGUUGCAGUACGUUCAUACAAUAGGUAGCUUUUCAUGCCGCAUUGUAAUACUGGAAUACUUAGUUCCUGUUCUCCGUCAAUGUGUUGGAUUGCCCCUGGCUUAUCGUGUCUUUUAUAAAACACUUUGGAGAAAUCUUGCUAUUGUCUUGUAAAAUAUCUUCCUUCCGUUUAAACUAUAUGUCUUCAAACUUUAGCCUUCAGUCCAGCAUCUUCAACGGUACAGCUGACUGUAACUAUGAGAAUCUGUAUGCUUCUUUCUUGCAGCAUUUUGUUUAUGUUUUUUUGCUUUUGCCCCUUUAUCCUGCUCUCCAUCUCCUAAUUCUAAUUAAUUUGCUUCUUGCAGCAUUUUGUUUAUGUUUUUUUUGCUUUUGCCCCUUUAUCCUGCUCUCCCUUUAUCCUGCUCUCCAUCUCCUAAUUCUAAUUAAUUUGCUAAAAUUUGCGGAUAGGUGCCAAUAUCUUUUAAAUCCUUUUCACAAAGAGGUGUAAAGAACAAUGCCCCCCAGGGCUUUGUUCUAGUGGUAAGAGCAUAUCGAUGAUGUGUAGGCACACGUCGCAGGUUCGAAUCUUGCCUCAGAUAAAGCCAGAUAUUUAAGUGGAGAAGGGUAGAGGGGCGGGCCCAUCAUAUGCCGGAGUUUCGAACCCUUUGGCCGCCGGGGAUCUCUCGGUAGCGAGGAAAAACUGUAAACAACAAUACACCACAAUUUACGCAUGUUGUGAAAAGAGGAAAGAGGAGAGAAACUCUUACUGAACUUUUUUGGGUUAACAUAUAGGAGGGCUCUUUUUUAAUGGACUGAAGAAUCCUAAUUAUUGGGGUUUUCAAUUAUGAUAUAAUAGUUAAUAGUUAUCUUGUCAAUGGCAGAACAUUAGGAGUAAUUCUCACUAAGAUCAUUUUGACAACUCUUUUAGACUUAAUAGACUCCUUGUAUCUUGGAUAGGAGUUGAGCCAAAACUUUAGUACAGGUUCAACUCCUGAUUGUUGCCGGAACAGUGAUCAUCAUCGAAAGGUCAUAUUCUUUCUCAUAGACAGUUAUCGACACAACCAAAGAAAUAUGCCUUGCAGCACAUGGGAAAAAUCGUUUUGAUUUAGCGGAAAGAGAUUUUGGUGACACAAAUCUCUAUUAAAUCAUGUAAGCUUGAAUUAAAGUUGAAGGGUAACAAGAAAUUAUUGGAGUAAUUGCUUGCAAAGCCAGAGAAAAGUGACUGGAAGAGACGAUGCCGUCAGGAUGGUUGCCUGAAAGAGAUCAGCGCGGUGCCUCAAAUGUUCUCAGGAAAGAAAUGUGGAGCCUGAAAUGUCACAAUGCUGCCUAAUGAUGGCUGGAAAUAAGAAUAGUGCUGCCUAGAAUGGUUAUCAGAAAGAGGCAAGAGUAGUACUUAGAUUUCCACAAAUAUCGUAGAAGCUUAAUACGCCUAAUACCACAUGGAAGGAGAGAGACGAAGAGAAACUCUUAUUGGAACUGGUUGAUAACAUCAAGAAGGCUCCUUGUAGAAAAGUUUUGAACUAUAUAUGAGAUAAGGAAGUUUCAUGUUCCUAAGGUUUCCUAUUUAUUACACGACACUAAGGAUAUUUUCCAUAUUAUUCUUAUUGAUCCUCUUAACUUUCAUUGAUAAUAUAAUCAUUACCAAAUUCUCUACUAUUUAAUUUUUCUGUUAACUUUGAACAUCUUUUUUUCUUCUUAUUAUAGUGGUGUCAGGGUCACUUUGCUCGCACCUAGACUAUCCCACCGAAAAGCCUGCUGCAGGCCACCGUACACGUGUCGCGAAAUCAACUCACCAUGGUAGAGCAGAUAGGCUUAUACCGAGUGUCAUAGCUUAGCUUUGAACCUGAGAUCUCAGUUGAAUGGAGUUGAGAGUGAUGGCACGCUAAACGUUGACAAAGUGAAUGGUACUGUCUUUAAGGUAAGCUAGACAAGCUGGGGAGAACCUUUGAUGAAUGCAAACUACAAGGAACAAAACAAGUUGGCGGAUCAACUAACAAAGGGUUGAUAAAAUCAGCCACUAUUAGCAAAUUUAAUUUUGUUAUAUUGUGUAUUUAUUCUUUUCAUUUUUCAUUUAGAAUAUAUUGUUUAGCUGUUUUAUUGUUUUAUCUUAUAUUUGUUAUAAAGUUAAAUAUAUGUAUUUUAGUUUAUUUAACUUCAUGUAGGAAAAUGUAUUUAUUCUUCAAUUAGGAGUUUUAUCUAA